rfam:TPA: Bos taurus chromosome 23, whole genome shotgun sequence.
ACAAAGGCUCUUUUCAGAGCCACCCACUUUCUCCAUUUACAGAGCU